ACGAGCGCCGGGGCUCCGGAAGGUGUGCUGCGGCGCUCGGUCUUUGUUCACUCUUGUCCAAACUGCAGCUUGUGCUAGGUUCUCUUUUUCAGCCUUAUUUACCCCUCCCGGCUUUAGCUGCAGACUAUUCACUAAAAAACCCACCCAAGCACAGGCCUCGGCUUUUCCUCCCCCGGACUGUCCCGCCUUCACACUCCUCAGAGGCUUUGUGGCCGCCUGGGGUUAAGGGAGACCUCUUCGCAAACUCCUCUCUAUGUACUGGGGACACAGGAGUGCUGGGUUAAAAGCAGUUGGCUUGCUAAGAUAAGAAAACCAAGGCACAGAGAGGUGAAGUAACUUAUCCUGUACAAAGUCCAACAGCAAGUGGAGUCACCAUCAGAACUCAAGUAUCAGGUUCCAGAGCCACGUGCUUAGCCACUGCGAUGUACUGCCUCCCAUAAAAAAAUGUCUCAUGUUCAUCAGGUUAAUCCUAAAGUGCCUGAAGUCAUGCUGUUGCCGCUGAUCCAUGGAACAUACUCUAAAGAACAUGGGACUAAGCAUACAGUAAUGAAUCAAAGCUAAGUCUAGAUUUUAGAAAUACAGCAAAUACAAAGCAUGGUGAGUUUGACCACUGGUGCAACUUGCUGAAACUGUUUACUGUGUAAGGCACUUCACUGUUUAUAGACAAGCUCUCUCCAAAUGUUUUCUUUUAAGUUUUUUUAAAGUGUUCUAUUUUUCUCGGGAGAGUAAGUCUAAGAAAGAGUUCAAUAUACUUUAAUUUUAGACAAUGUAUUUAUUAUAUACAGUAUACAU